rnacentral:rRNA from 1 species
UGCAGUCGAACGAUGAAGCCUUUCGGGGUGGAUUAGUGGCGAACGGGUGAGUAACACGUGGGCAAUCUGCCCUUCACUCUGGGACAAGCCCUGGAAACGGGGUCUAAUACCGGAUAUGACACACGACCGCAUGGUCUGUGUGUGGAAAGCUCCGGCGGUGAAGGAUGAGCCCGCGGCCUAUCAGCUUGUUGGUGGGGUGAUGGCCUACCAAGGCGACGACGGGUAGCCGGCCUGAGAGGGCGACCGGCCACACUGGGACUGAGACACGGCCCAGACUCCUACGGGAGGCAGCAGUGGGGAAUAUUGCACAAUGGGCGAAAGCCUGAUGCAGCGACGCCGCGUGAGGGAUGACGGCCUUCGGGUUGUAAACCUCUUUCAGCAGGGAAGAAGCGAGAGUGACGGUACCUGCAGAAGAAGCGCCGGCUAACUACGUGCCAGCAGCCGCGGUAAUACGUAGGGCGCAAGCGUUGUCCGGAAUUAUUGGGCGUAAAGAGCUCGUAGGCGGCUUGUCACGUCGGAUGUGAAAGCCCGGGGCUUAACCCCGGGUCUGCAUUCGAUACGGGCAGGCUAGAGUGUGGUAGGGGAGAUCGGAAUUCCUGGUGUAGCGGUGAAAUGCGCAGAUAUCAGGAGGAACACCGGUGGCGAAGGCGGAUCUCUGGGCCAUUACUGACGCUGAGGAGCGAAAGCGUGGGGAGCGAACAGGAUUAGAUACCCUGGUAGUCCACGCCGUAAACGUUGGGAACUAGGUGUUGGCGACAUUCCACGUCGUCGGUGCCGCAGCUAACGCAUUAAGUUCCCCGCCUGGGGAGUACGGCCGCAAGGCUAAAACUCAAAAGGAAUUGACGGGGGCCCGCACAAAGCAGCGGAGCAUGUGGCUUAAUUCGACGCAACGCGAAGAACCUUUACCAAGGCUUGACAUACACCGGAAAACCCUGGAGACAGGGUCCCCCUUGUGGUCGGUGUACAGGUGGUGCAUGGCUGUCGUCAGCUCGUGUCGUGAGAUGUUGGGUUAAGUCCCGCAACGAGCGCAACCCUUGUUCUGUGUUGCCAGCAUGCCCUUCGGGGUGAUGGGGACUCACAGGAGACUGCCGGGGUCAACUCGGAGGAAGGUGGGGACGACGUCAAGUCAUCAUGCCCCUUAUGUCUUGGGCUGCACACGUGCUACAAUGGCCGGUACAAUGAGCUGCGAUACCGCGAGGUGGAGCGAAUCUCAAAAAGCCGGUCUCAGUUCGGAUUGGGGUCUGCAACUCGACCCCAUGAAGUCGGAGUUGCUAGUAAUCGCAGAUCAGCAUUGCUGCGGUGAAUACGUUCCCGGGCCUUGUACACACCGCCCGUCACGUCACGAAAGUCGGUAACACCCGAAGCCGGUGGCCCAACCCCUUGUGGGAGGGA